AUCUAGUUCUAUAACUAACAUUAGAGCCAGAAUUUAUCUUAAACAUCUACAGCAUGCUCAGCCUCUAUUGUUCGAUUACUCAGAACCCUUUCGAUAUAUCGAAUAAGAAUACACCCUCGAAUCGCAACUCAAAAUCUCCUCCAAAGAUCAAGAAUAAAUCUUUAGUCCUUCUUAAGUACUUAAGGAUAUUCUUCACAGUAAUCCAGUGUUCCUCUCCUAAUUUCGA
rnacentral:lncRNA from 1 species